rnacentral:rRNA from 1 species
GAUUAUCCCGAUAUCUACACAUUCCACCGUUACACCGGGAAUUCCAGUCUCCCCUACUGCACUCUAGCCCGCCCGUACCCGGCGCAGACCCACCGUUAAGCGAUGGGCUUUCACACCAGACGCGACGAACCGCCUACAAGCUCUUUACGCCCAAUAAUUCCGGAUAACGCUUGCGCCCUACGUAUUACCGCGGCUGCUGGCA